rnacentral:lncRNA from 1 species
AAUAACUAGCCAGUAGAGCUCUAAAUCAUCCGCGAAACUGAUUAUUUUGUCAUAAUACAUGUUUCCUUUGAACUGGACAGCUGAGUAUGCAAAAUUGCCAAUAAUUCCUCCAUUUUAUCAACCGUCUGCUGAUCUCACAAAUGGUGUUAACUUCGCCUCGGGAGGGGCUGGAGUUCUUCCUCAGACCAAUCAAGGGCUGGUAAGAAAAUUAAUAAGCAAUCUAUUGAUCUACAGUGGUGAUGUUCAGAAAUUAGGAACAUAAAAAUAAAAAUAAAAGGUUAUUUGGUGUUUGGGAUAGUAGCAAAUAUAUAUGUUAACUGUUUCCAAAUAAUGCCAGCAAGAAAAACAAUUCUAAUUUGGAAAACUUUUAUAUUCUUCUAUGGUAAAGUCAUCUUCUAAAAUAAUUAAGGUAAUAUAGUUUUUUCAAAUCCUGAACCCUUUUCUUGAAGCUCUCAUAGAGGGCCCGUAGGGUCAUUCCUAUAAUUGGAUGAGGGAUAAAUAUUCUUUACCUGAUAAAAAUAUAAUGGGUUCAUGAAGGGCUUUGAUACAUCAAAAAAGAUUUAGAAAGACUGGAGUUUAAGAUGUAAAAUAAUAGAGAAAACUAGAAUUCUUUUUUGAGGUUUGACCAAAAAAAGAUCGAUCUUUCCUCUAGAUAUGUCAUAGAAGGAGGCAUGAUGAUGUUAAAGCAAUUCAAAUUAACAUAAAAAAAAAUACAAAUAAAAGAGAGAAAGAGGCUAUAGAUCUCAUUAAUUUGUAUAUUCUAAAGUACUUGUUUUAACCUAAAUACAAAAGAGUUUGUUUGUUUGGGUGAUUGCUUCUACGUUUGAAGUAACCAUUGCCAAACAAGUGUUUGGUAAAGUUGAAAACGCAAUUUAUUUCUGAUGGGGCCCAGUGUAUUUUGAGUCAAAACACAGAUUAAAUCAAAGCAUCUCUCGUUUGCUUUUCUUCUUUUACUCUGCAUUGUUAAUUUUUUAAAAGUGAACAAUGCUUUUUUUUUUUUUCCCUUGAAAAACCAAUGCAGUGAAUUAAUCACUCGCACUGUUCCCGUUCACGCGAACAAUAUUUUUAAAAAAAAACUAGUUUAGAGUGAAUUAAAUUUACUCGCAUUGUAAUCUCAAUUUUAUUUAUGAUAAUAUUUUACCUAAUUUUAUUGCACGCUUAAAAAUCAUGAAAACUGUAGUUCUUCUCGGAUGAAUUUUGUAUGUAAUGGAAUUGUAGAUAGUUUAAUGGAACAAUAAAAAAUAUUUUAUAUAAUAUAUUAUUUAUUUCAUGAUGUAAUAGUAGUAGUUAAAUCUAUAAUGUUUAAAUUUAAAAUCAUUAAUAUUAAUAUUUAUAUUUUAUAGUAAUUUUAUAAUCUCAAUUUAAAAAGCAUUCGUAACCAAACACAUUAAACUACUUUUUAGUCAACCUCAAUUUUAACCAUAGUUUUAAUCAAACAUAUAUAAAUAUCAAAUCAACCUCAACUAAAAGUACUUUUCAUAAAAAAAUAUUUCAAACCACAACUACAAAAGCUAUAUAUAAGUUAAACUAAAAAUAUUAUUCUACCCUUGAUAAAUAAAACAAGAUAAAUGUAUUAUUUUACAUCUCCCCUUAAAUUCACAAUGAGUCUAGCAUGCAUGCUAGACCCACGUUACCUUGGACUUGGUGCACUUCCAAGUCUAAGCGUAUUGGGACUGGCAUGCGUGCCAGACUAGCGUUAUCUUGGAGUUGGAAGUACGCAUUGAACUUGGCUAACUAUCAAGUCCAAGCAUAUCGGAUCUACUUGCCAGACCCAUAUAUUUUUAAAAAUAAAUAAAUAAAGCUAACUCAUCAAUUACCUAUCUAAUCAUUGGGCUAGAUGGGGCUUGCACCAAUUCAAAGUGAAAGAGUUUAUUUACUUGUUGCUUUCACUAUUAGGUGGUUGACCUCCAGACACAGUUAAGAUCUUUUGAAGAGGUGCAAAAGUCAUUGACAGAAAAGCUAGGAGAGGUAGAGGCAAAAGCUCUUUUAUCAGAGGCAGUUUAUUUCAUCAGUGUUGGAAGCAACGAUUACGUGGCAGGUUAUUUAGGUAAUCCGAAAAUGCAAGAAUAUUUUGUGCCUGAGGUGUAUGUUGGUAUGGUCAUUGGAAACUUGACAAAUGCAAUUAAGGUGAACCUUCUAAUUAACUACAUUUAAUACUUCAUUUAUAUGGUAAUUAACUUGAGGUUGAAUUGAUUAAUGUUAACUAUGUCUGUCCUUUUUAUUUAGGUGUUGUAUGAGAAAGGAGCUAGAAAAUUUGGAUUUCUAAGCUUGUUUCCUUUAGGUUGCAUGCCACUCAUGAGAGCUAGGAACCCCAAGUCCAGUGAAGGCGGUUGUUUUGAAGCAGGUUCUGGUCUUGCAUUGGCACACAAUAAUGCUUUGAAUGCUGUACUUACAAGCCUCGAGCAACUGCUGAAAGGUUUCAAGUAUUGCAAUUCUGAAUCAUAUACUUGGUUUUAUGACAGAAUUAAUAAUCCCGCAAGCUAUGGUAUGUGUGUUCUCCUUGAUUAAAGUAGUGUGGUGCAGAAUUUAUUUCAAAAGAGUAACGUAGGCUUUAUUGCAAUAUAAUGUGAUAGUAUGUUGUUUGGAUAAGCUAAUUUCAAUUACUCACAAGCAAAGUAAUUGUUAUUCACCCAAAAUCAAGGUUUUAAAGAGGGGGUAAAUGCUUGUUGUGGAACUGGACCCUAUGGCGGUGUCUACAGCUGCGGAGGUAAAAGGAUGCCUGUGGAGUUCCAAUUAUGCGAUAACGCUGAUAAUUAUAUUUGGUGGGAUUCUAGCCAUCCAACAGAGAGGAUCCAUGAGCAAAUCGCCAAGACUUUAUGGAAAGAUGGACCUUCAGUAGGGCCAUACAACCUAGAAGACCUUUUUUUUGACAAGGAAAGGCUCACAAUAGCUGACAUAUUGGAUGCCCCUGAUGAAGAACACUUCCAACACUGAAGUUCUGCCUGCCUUUAUAGUCCAAUCAACUUCUCAACGGCGUGUGGGUAUAAAGGAAUGCAUGUACAUUCCUCAGAGGGUGUCUGAGAGUGGCUUUCUUCAUUUGCUAUAGUCAUUUUACCACAUACCAAACUGCUAUGUUGUAUGAAUAAAUGGAAAACGACAUGUUUAUUGGUGUAAAUAAAGCAGCUACAAGAAUUUGCCUAACAUUGAAUCCCAUAUAGCUAUCUUUGUUUAACCAUCUAAGAAAAUGUUUUUCAUAACUUGAAUCGGCUUUUUUUCCAUACAAGGGUGGACGAAAUAUCAUCCUUGUCAGCUUGUCCUCGUGUUCUUGUUUCUUCAGAACCUUAGAAUAGGAUUCUUGCAAAAACACCCUAAAAUUAACCUUUCUUGUUGGGUAAAAAAAGCUCGAAAACCCAAGAGAAUGAAUUUUUGGUGAUGAUUAGCUCCCCCAUCCGAAGACUUGGAUCGGUUUAUAUAACAGCAGGUCUGCUUCACUAACUCUCUUUCAAGUCUCACCAAUAAGAAUUUUACACACGUGUACAAUACAAAGAAUGAAGCAAUGAUAAAUUAGGAGCAUAGGUUGCCCUCCUUGCCGGUUAAGCCAGGUGAUUCAGACCUUUACUAUCUGAUUAUGUCCUCGUUAAUCAACAACGACAAAAUUAGGAGUGUAUUUGAUAUGGUUAAUGAAAAUUGAUUUUUAACUAUGAAAUAUAAUUUUGAAAUUCUUUUUUCAUAAAUAAAUCUGAAAAAGGAACUUAGUAUAAGUAGAAUCCAUAAAUUAAAAGUUUAAAAAGUAUUAACUCUCGAUUUAAAUUAUUUCUAAUCAAACAUGUUUAUGAUUAUUUUAUAAAUUAAAGUUAAAAAACAACUUAUAUAAAUCAUAUCAUAUCUAACUUUACCAUAUCAAAUUUAAUUAAAUCAGGUUAAUUUGAAAAGUCAAUGUCCACAUGGAUUUUUUAAUCUAAACUUUUUUUAUUACAGAAAUUAUAGAUCAAAAUAAGAAGAGCAAAACAUUACUAAUUUAUUUUAAAAAAAGAUCAUUUAACAUAUUUUGUUUUCAUUUUCUUGUAAAUAAUUUUUUUGUAAGAAACCUAAUAUAUCAAAUAUAAGCUCUUGCAACAAGAUAUUGUACAACUAAUUAUAAAAAUCAUUGAUGACCCUUAAUUAUUGUCCAUGCUAAAAUAGUUUAUCGACUUAAGAAUUUUAUUGUUUACUUACCUUGAGAAUUUCAAAAUUCUUUAAUUACCUUUUUCUUUUGUUAGGCUUCAAUCGAAUGACUAACAAAACAUUUUGACAAAAUUAUAUCUAAAAUCACCAUUUAAAAUUAUAUUUACUUGUUUCUGAUGAUAUCAUUACCUAACAUCAGUUAAGAAACGAUAGCCUUAGUUAAGCACAAAAAACACCUCUUUCCCCAACACCUUUUAAACAAGACAAAACUCAUUAUGUAAUUCUAAUGGGACAAUACCUCUUAGGAUGCCUACCAUAUGCAGAUGUAAGCACACAUCAUCAUUGACAUUGUUUAUGGGAACUUCAGUAAUAUGCAACUACCCAAGCCCUUCGCCUAGAGGGCUAUAAUGAUGUUACUAUCCCACAUUAGCUAGGAGACAAGAUUUUUAAUCACUUAUAAGCACAAAACAUACAUCUUUACCUAAGAGGCACCUUUUAAAAAGAAUAAAACUCACUAUGAAGUUCUAGUAAGACAUAUCUCUAGGGUCCUACCAUGUACAUGUGUGUGCACACAUUAUCAUUGGCACCGUUUAUGAUAAUGUUAGUCAUGUGUAACUACCCAAGCUCCUCGUCUAGGGGGUUAUGAUGAUAUCACUAUCCCACAUCGGCUAGGAGACAAGGACUUUGAUCUCUUAUAAGCACAAAAGGCAACUCUCCCCCCAAAAGGCACAUUUUAAAAAGGACAAAACUCAUUAUAUGGUUCUAGUGAGAAAAUACCUUUUAGGAGGCCUACCAUGUGCAGGUGUAGGCAUACAUGAUGAUGUCACUAUCCCACAUCGGUUAAGAGAUGAGAGUCUUAGUCGCUUAUAAGCACAAAAUACACAUCUCUUCUUAAGAGGCGUAUUUUAAAAAGGAUAAAAUUCACCAUGUGGUUCCUAUAACACCCCAUACUAUUCCGUGUGUUUAUACUUAAGUUUAUUUAUCAUACAUGUAACACCCCACACUUUCAUGCGGUUUAUGUUCAAUCACAUUGAUUAUGUAUAUAAGGAAAAAUCUUAAUUUGAAUACUUAUUACAAACUUAAAUGAAUAAGGUAAAAAAAUCAUAAGGUUAAAUCCUAGGCUAGAUGGCACCCAGAUAAUCACUAAUCUUGUUGUGUACCUUUAAGGUAAAAACAUGUAUUGGUAAAUAUUAAAGAAAACAAAUAUAGUCAAUUCAUUAGCAAUUAUUAACAUCCCAAUGAUAAUAGUUUUUUUUUCAAUGAGGAAAGUAACAAACCAUUAUCUUAGAAUUUUACUAAAAUAUCUCCUCUUUAGUCUAUCAACAUCAUAAAUUUUUAGCCUACAUGUCUCUAUUUAUCCAACUUUAUAAGUUUAAUUUCCAAUCACAAGAAUUUAAAGUCAUAUUAUGAUAUUUAUAUACAUUAGUUCCUUUACAUAAAACCAACUUAAUACAUGUAACCUAUAAUUCUCAUACUUUAAACAUUCAACUUAUAUAUCCGCUAGAUGCACCAUUAGAAAUAUCUUUACUGAUGUGGAAAGUUAUAUUUUUAUUGUCAAUAAUGGUGUCUGCCCCUGCGGUUAAUUCCAUCAAACUAUAUUCUUAACAUGUCUUCUAAUUCAUUUUCAUCUUACUCGUAUAAUUCUUUCAUUAAAAAAUACUUAAUACCUAUCAAAUCAAUUAUGUACUUUAGCAUUUAGGUAAAUUACUUAAUACCUGUCAUUCUUAUUUAACUUAUGCCUACUUGGUUCCUUUUAACUUUGUAUGCAAGUAUUCUUCAUUCAUAAUUACAUCAUUAGGCUUAUUUGUUAUACUACCAUUUAUCUUUCCCUUUUCAAAUAUUUCCCAAUCCAGAUUCAUUAUUGCGACCAAGAAAUCAAAUUUCAAAUGUACAUUUCAUCAUUAUAUAUAAUUAAUUUUAAUCUUCUUUCAAAAUUUUACCAUAUUAAUACAUUUUUCGAUAGUCAGUCAUGCUAAUGCUUAUAGCCCCUUUUCGGUUAGCUAGUAAAAUAAUUCAUCCUGGUCAUCAGAUACACUAAUGCCUUUAGCCUUUUUUUUUUUAGCUAUUAAUUCAUCCUAUUCUUGAAAUAUAGUGAUGCCUCUAGCCCUUUUAUAGCCAGCUGAUUAGUACUUAAAAGUGCAUUUUUAUCAAGGUUUUAUAUCAUCAUUUUGCACUUGAAGUAUCAAUAACUCCUUAACUAAAGCAUGUUUUAUAAUAACAUAUCUAAUACUAUAAGAUACCUUUAAUUUAUGGUAAAUGUUCAUCUUAAAUGCAGACCUAUCACAUAAAUGAAAGGAUUGAUUGAUGAGUUUAAGUACUAAAAUUGAAAGGACAAAGAGAGGGCCAAACUUAGAAAAGAGAUGCUAGUUCAGUCCAAACUGGAGUACUAUUUGGUAAUUGGGUCAUAUUUGGAGUUGUAAAUCUCGGAUUUAGGUCUGCCUUAUAUGGAUGGAAAUGUAAGAUAUAGGCCUAAAACUUUCAUGUGAAGUCCAAGAUUUAAAAAGGUUGUUUUCAAGUCCAAAUUAUAGCAACAAUGGAGAAGUCUGAAUCUGUCCUGUAGCCCAGAUACUAUUCAGUGUUCAGCCUAUAUCUCGAGUUAUAGAAGUCCAAAUGACCUUAAUUUUUUUUUUCUGGAAAGAUAAGACAGUUUCCUAGAACUUUCAUGAGUAUAUUUGGUUCCAAUUCUGAUGUUAGCAAUGAAGUUUUGUUCAGACAAGAAUAUAAGGAUUUUCACCAAGUCAAGAGUUGGCCACCCACUCAACAAUUACUUAUCAAAUCAAUAGUUCCAAAUUUUAGCCUUAUUUGAAGUCAUUUUCUCGUUUAAAAGUCAUGAUUUUUUUAAAUAUUUAAGCAUGCUUUGAAGAUAGUUUAUAUAUGCUCAAGUUUUGUUAGAUUGCUUUGUUUUAAUGUGUUAGAAUGUGAUAAUGGUAUGGUAUAUGACAAUGUUCAAUAUUGUUUUCCAUGCUUGGAUUUUUAGUUAAUCAAUUUUAAAGUCAUGGCAAUGUAUGUUCAAUGUUGUUCAACCUAUAUCUCGAGUUAUUGAAAUCCAAAUGACUUCAAUUUUUUUUCCAGGAAAGAUAAGACAGUUUCCUAGAACUUUCAUGAGUACAGUUGAUUUCAAUUCUGAUGUUAGCAAUGAUGUUUUGUUCAGACAAGAAGAUAAGGAUUUUCAUCAAGUCAAGUGUUGGCCACCCACUCAACAAUUACUUAUCAAAUCAAUAGUUUUAAAUUUUAGCCUUAUUUGAAGUCAUUUUCUUGUUUAAAAGUCAUGAUUUUUUUUAAUAUUUAAGCAUGCUUUGAAGAUAGUUUAUAUAUGCUUAAGUUUUGUUAGAUUGCUUUGUUUUAAUGUGUUAGAAUGUGAUAAUGGUAUGGUAUAUGAUAAGGUUCAAUGUUGUUUUCCAUGCUUGAAUUUUUAGUUAAUCAAUUUUAAAGUCAUGGCAAUGUAUGUUAAGCAUUGAUGUUUAUAUGGAUUAGAUUGUUUUAAAGUAGUUUGAUGGGUUUGUACAAGUUGUAAGCAUGUUGUUUAAGCUUCAGGAUAAUGGAACUAAUCAAUUGAACAUGGUUUAUACAUAGGAAAAUGCAUUUUUGGCAUGUUGUUAGUAUAUGGUUUUGCUUGUUGUUUUAUCAUUGAUUUUAUGUUUCUUGUUGUUUUGGCGGUUCAUGCAAAUUAUGUUGAGCAUGCUCAAGCUUUGGUUGCUAAGUUUAGAUUGUUUUGUGGACUCUUUAUGCAUUUUUAUUUUUUAUUUUAAGGCAUUUCUAGGUUUCUUGGUUGGUGUUCAUCUGUUGAACAUUACCUUGGGUCCCUAUUUUCCAUGUCUUUUUGGUAUAUUGAUGGUUCUUACACAUGCGUACAAUUUUUUGGAUCACUAAUUGAAGGUUUUAAUAGUUUAGAAACACUGAAAUUAUGGUUUUUAAUAUUUAGUUAUAUCAUUUGCUUUGUUUUUGUUCUAGGUUAUGUUUAUGGGCAUGGGUCUAAGGCUAAAAAGCUAAACCCAUGUGGUUGGGUUGAGCCUAUUCCUAAAAUAAGGGCAUGUUUUGCUAAUAAAAAAUUUAUAUAAAAAAAUGCCUUUUAUGUUCUCAAGGCAUAAUUGCUAAACAUGAUAUUAGAUCAUUUUUAAGCCUUUGAUUUUUAGUCCAAACACACCCUACUGAUUUUUCAACAAUGGUUUUUUUUUUUUUUUGUGCUUUUGCCAAACAAGCCCAAAUAAUUUCCAAAGCAUUAUUAAAAACUCAAAGACCAUUUUAAAAAUAUUUGUGGGUCUCUCAUGUGUUUUUCCAAUAAUUUUACUUAAUAUCGGGUUGCAGACUUUCAUUGUAAGGUACUAACACAAUAUUAAAAACAUGUGUUUUCUCUAAAAUUUCAAAAAACAUCCCAAAUAUCCAAAAAUUUCCUUAUCUUAAAAAUACAAAAAUAUGUUUUUGUUUGUGUGUAUACAACCAAAUUCUAAAAUUUUUCCAUGCAUAUUUUAUAAACACAAAAAUUGCAUUUUUAUCAUGUUUUUUAAAAAUACAAAAAUAAAGUAUUGUAAGUAGUUUAUAAUCACCCAUUAGAAUUUGACCAAAAUUUCAUAAAUACCACAUAAUUAAUUUGUUUAAUUAAUGUUUGGAGUAUGAAUUUUACAAUACAAUACAUACUCUCAGUAUUAAAUUAAAUGAAUUAAUAACAAUAAAUAUUAUGAAUUAGUUACGGACUUUUUAUUUACGAGUAUAAAAUUACACUAUAAAAUAUACUCUUGGAUAUUAAAGAUACAAAGUAGGAAUAAGUGUGGUGUUAAGAUUAGGGUCCUAGAACGAUAUGUUUUCACCCAAUAAGACAAAGACUUCCUCAUGAAGAAAGAUUUGUGUUGAAACUUAGAUAAACCAACAUAUAUUAACAUGGCCUAGAAAAAAAAAAUCAAUCAACAAUGUAUCUUAUCAUAGGUAGGGAAUAUCAGGGGUGAUGUGUUUUUUCUUUUCACAACUAGUACUCUUACCUAGAUUAUUAGGUUUUUAAUGACUGUGAUACUAGGUAAUGACUCCUUUAAAAUUAUAAUUUUAUGAUUAAUACCAAAACUUUUCGAUCUAAAAGGAAAACCUGUUAUUUGAUGUCGUGCAUGUUAUGACAGGUUACGAGACAAGGGUUUUAGUUGCUUAUAAGCACAAAGGCACCUUUCUCCUAAGAGGUGUCGUUUAAAAAGGACAAAAUUCAUCAUGUGAUUCUGGUGACACAAUACCUCUUUAAAUUAGAAAAAAAAAAAUCCAUAAGAAGGUUUUAGUUGUCUACGAUGUGCUAGUGUGGGUACACAUUAUAAACAUCAUUAUUCAAAUUGAAGUUUUGAGCACAAACCAAAAUUUAUUCAUAGAUCUUAAAUUUUUUUGGAAUUUUUAAUCUUGUUUUUUUUUUCAAUGAUUAAAUAAUGUUUAGCUAAAAACUAGUCAAUUUACUCGCAUGCUGCCCUAGUGCCCUUUUUAGAAUUUAUUUUUAUUGAAUUAUAUGGUGAUUAAAAUAAAUAUUCAAAAGAAAUUCAAUAAUUUAAAUUAGGGAGAAAAAAUGUAUUUCUUUAAUAAUGAUUUUUCUUUUUUGUUCACACCUUUCCUUUUGUUUUGAUGAAAAAUAUCAUUUUUGAGUUAAUGCUUAAGGCAAUUAAAAUAAAUAUUUAUAAGAACCUCAAUGAUUUAAAUUAAUGAGAAAAAAACAUAUUCUUUUUAAUCAAAAAAAUCAUUCCUUUUACAUAGACACAGACGGAAAAAAACACUUGUUCUUUAUUUGAAAAUUGAUAUUUUAAUUGUCUUUAUAAUUUUUACUUGAGUGUAUUAAAAAACAAAUGAAUAGAUAAUUUGAAAAAAAUAUAAAAAUAAUAAAAUAGAUAUUCUCUUCUCAAUGAAUAUUCAUGAACAAUUGUUUUUAAAAUGUUCAUAUGUAAUAAGAAUAUAAUUUUAUUUAAAAGUCAUGGCAUAACUUGAUGGUUUUCAAACAUCAUUUUAAUAAUUUUAUUGGAAGAUCAUUUCAUCAUAAAGUAUAAAAUAAAUAAAUAAAUAAAUAAAAGAUAAAUGUUAAGCACUCUUUAGAUUUAGAAAGUCAAGACCAUACACCUGUCUAUUAAAAAAAAGUUUAUGCACACCUAGGCCUGGUAGCCAACGCACAUAUCCAAGUUUGUUUAAUUUAUAUAGAAUAAAUGAUUGACAAAUUAUUUUCAUAACAAAAUAGAGAACAACAAGUUUGUAAAAUGAAAAAAAAAAAAUUUCCUUUAAGGAAUUAUCAAGACACAACUAUGUAAGGAAAAUUAUCUUUAUUUUUUGUUUUUAUUCAUUUAUAAUUUUUAUGAAUCGGUUCAAAAAAUUUCUCAAUCUAUUUUUUUUUGUUUAUGUAUUAUUUUCUUUUACAUAUAAAAAUAUAUUUUUUAUUAAUAGCAUUUUUUAAUAAAGACUUAUCAUGACUUGAAAAAUCAAUGUCCAGGUAAUUUAGACCUUAAAACUCAAAUCCCAACCUUUUUUUUAUUUUUAUUUUGCCUAAAAGCACAAAAGUAUCAUAAAAAUCUUAAUAAUCUCAUUUUUAACCCUAAAACAGUCCUUUAACUGUCAAAAAAGCUCAAAAAUAAAAUUAAAUCUAAAUAAACUUGGUGUGUUACGAUUCAUUUUUCCAAUAAAGAUUAAAAGUUAAAACCACCCCAUGGUAUUUCCAUCUUCGACACCAAGAUGAACUCUUUUUUUGUGGCCAGAGUCGAAAGACUAGAAUACUGAAAUAUAAAAGUUGAAGACUACAAGGACCAUGUAUAAAGUUUGGAAAACUUUAGAAAGUGCAGUGAACUUUUCCGAGCUUAAUGAAUACUGAAAUAUAAAAGUUGAAGACUACAAGGACCAUGUAUAAAGUUUGGAAAAAUUUAGAAAGUGCAGUGAACUUUUCCGAGCUUAAUGAAUACUGAAAAUUUGCAAAACAAAAGUGAGUGGCUCUACGGUAAGAAAAGAGUUGAAAAGCUCAAAAUAGAAAACAGUGGGCGUCAUUCUCAUAACACUGCCUUUGGAUUUUGUACCCAGCUCUUACUUUACUUUUACUUCACAUGAUUGCUGCUUUCUUGUUGUUGUUGGACACCAUAAUCUACGCAUUCGAAACGUUUCUUCUCUCGAAACGGCGUGGGAUUCAUUGACACAAGCAAUAAAUGGUCACAUGACCCCUAUUCUAAAGUUCACAUGGGAUCACGUGCAACACUCUUGAUUGAGAAAAUGAUACCCUCUUCCCAAUCAUACAUCACAAGGAGGACAUACAAACCAAAAAUAAAAAUAAAAAAAUAAGUUGACAUGGGCAAUAUUGCAGCUGCACAGCGUAAUUAAAAGUGUGGUUAUAAAAAUAUGAAUGUUUUUAUUUUUUAAAAUAUAUUUUAUGUUUUAAAAAUUAUUUAUGAUAUUAAUUCAUUAAAAUAAUCUAGAAGUACAAAAAAAAUAUUAAUUUACAGAAAAAAAUUUAAUUUUUUUUAAAUAUUUUUUAAAUGUAAAAAUAAAUAUUGCUAACUUUACCUGAAACAGAAGCAUUAUUAUAGAUGCCCGCAAGUAGUUGAUUUGCGUGUAUUGGUCCUCGAGGGAGGGCCGGGAAGAAAUUGGUAUCCUGAAUGAAUGACCUAAUCAAUUAUGAGGAGCAGCCUGGCAUGGCAUCCAGGCAUUCCUCGUGGCUGCAACUGCCC